rnacentral:rRNA from 1 species
UGGGGAAUAUUGCACAAUGGGGGAAACCCUGAUGCAGCGACGCCGCGUGAGCGAAGAAGGCCUUCGGGUCGUAAAGCUCUUUUAUGAGGGAAGAUAAUGACGGUACCUCAAGAAAAAGCCCCGGCUAACUACGUGCCAGCAGCCGCGGUAAUACGUAGGGGGCUAGCGUUGUCCGGAAUCACUGGGCGUAAAGGGCAUCUAGGCGGUAAGACAAGUUGAAGGUGAAAACCUGUGGCUCAACCAUAGGCUUGCCUACAAAACUGUUGAACUAGAGUACUGGAAAGGUGGGUGGAACUACACGAGUAGAGGUGAAAUUCGUAGAUAUGUGUAGGAAUGCCGAUGAUGAAGAUAACUCACUGGACAGAAACUGACGCUGAAGUGCGAAAGCUAGGGGAGCAAACAGG